GACGAACGCUGGCGGCGUGCUUAACACAUGCAAGUCGAACGGAAAGGCCCUGCUUUUGUGGGGUGCUCGAGUGGCGAACGGGUGAGUAACACGUGAGUAACCUGCCCUUGACUUUGGGAUAACUUCAGGAGACUGAGGCUAAUACCGGAUAGGAGCUCCUGCUGCAUGGUGGGGGUUGGAAAGUUUCGGCGGUUGGGGAUGGACUCGCGGCUUAUCAGCUUGUUGGUGGGGUAGUGGCUUACCAAGGCUUUGACGGGUAGCCGGCCUGAGAGGGUGACCGGCCACAUUGGGACUGAGAUACGGCCCAGACUCCUACGGGAGGCAGCAGUGGGGAAUAUUGCACAAUGGGCGGAAGCCUGAUGCAGCAACGCCGCGUGCGGGAUGACGGCCUUCGGGUUGUAAACCGCUUUCGCCUGUGACGAAGCGUGAGUGACGGUAAUGGGUAAAGAAGCACCGGCUAACUACGUG
rnacentral:rRNA from 1 species